AGGAUACUCCUUCCAUCUGGAAAUAUUUAUCGGAGAAAUUGAUAAAAAUAAAUGUAUCUAAAACUAAAAUACAUCUAGAUACAUGUAUUUUCCCGAUAAGUAUUUUUGAACGGAGGGAGUACUAA
rfam:Triticum aestivum genome assembly, contig: Triticum_aestivum_CS42_TGACv1_scaffold_273084_3DS